AUUCCUAAUUCCUGAAGUCUCCACAUGACAUCUAUAUCAUCCCCUUGCCUGUGCCUAUCAGAACAGGUUACACCUAUACUGCGUCUCCUUAACCUCCAGUCUCCAGCCAAACACCCUCCUCCUUCCUUAAUUUCCUAUAAUAACUAAAAAACCAUUUAGGAAAUGAAGCUUAUGUCUCUUAUAUGGUUCUUAUUAUUAUGUGGUCACACCAUAUCAAACAUCGAAAUUCAAGGCCUACCCACAUCACAGAAAGAAGAGUUGACGCAAUCAGGACCUGGAAAACAAGGUCAAGUUCAAGGUCUAAAUGGGACAAUUAGAUUAGAAAGAGAAAAUAAAUUUCACUACACAAUGAAUUCGGGGCAGAGAGGGAAAGGAGCUUUUGGUGGUGCGAAUAAUGUUCACCACUCUCGACCUGGUGAAAGAAAUUCUGCAAUAUUAACUGCAAAACCUUCUUUGUCUUUGUUAGCCACCAUAUUUUGUGUGAGCUUGCCUUUGCCGCUAGUUUUCUAAAUAGUUUUUACUGUUUUGACUAGUUAAAACGUUAAAUGCUAUUUUUUAUAGUGUUUAAUAAUAUAGCGUCUGAAUUAGGAUAGUUUAACUUUUAGCAUUUUAUAAAAAACGUUAAACGUUAAGUAAAAUGCGAACAUCUUGAUAUUUUUUGGCAGCA